CAGAAACACCUGAUCUUCUUGUAGAUGGAC
rnacentral:piRNA from 1 species